rnacentral:rRNA from 1 species
CGCUGGCGGCGUGCCUAAUACAUGCAAGUCGAACGGUCUUUCUAUGGAAGCUUGCUUCCACUGAGAAGAUAGUGGCGAACGGGUGAGUAACACGUGGGUAACCUGCCCAUAAGAGGGGGAUAACAUCCGGAAACGGGUGCUAAUACCGCAUAGUUUUCUUGAUCGCAUGAUCGGGAAAGGAAAGACGGCCUUUGUGCUGUCGCUUAUGGAUGGACCCGCGGCGUAUUAGUUAGUUGGUGAGGUAACGGCUCACCAAGACGAUGAUACGUAGCCGACCUGAGAGGGUGAUCGGCCACAUUGGGACUGAGACACAGCCCAAACUCCUACGGGAGGCAGCAGUAGGGAAUCUUCCGCAAUGGACGAAAGUCUGACGGAGCAACGCCGCGUGAGUGAAGAAGGUUUUCGGGAAUCGUAAAACUCUGUUGUCAGAGAAGAACAAGUUGGAGAGUAACUGCUCCAGCCUUGACGGUAUCUGACCAGAAAGCCACGGCUAACUACGUGCCAGCAGCUGC